rnacentral:rRNA from 1 species
GACGAGUCUCACGAACGUUAUUCGGAAUUACUGGGCUUAAAGGGUGCGUAGGCGGUGGAGUAAGUCGGAUGUGAAAUACCUUAGCUUAACUAGGGAACUGCACUCGAUACUACUUUGCUAGAGUAAGACAGAGGUGAGUGGAACUGAGGGUGGAGCGGUGAAAUGUGUUGAUAUCGGAAGGAACGCCGGUGGCGAAAGCGACACACUGGGUCUCAACUGACGCUGAGGCACGAAAGCCAGGGGAGCGAACGGG